UCUGCAGUAAAAGCAUCCUUCCCGAGGACUAACCUUCAGGGUACCAGAAGGAGCUAUGCAAGCUUCCAAGAGCAAGAAACACACAGGAGUCCUCUUAACCUAUCACACCUAGGAAUGACAGCAAAGAGUAUGACAGGAUAACUCUAAGGAUGCAAAGAUAAGUGUAAUCCUUAUGCUUCAUCAAGGAGACUUCUAUUUUCAGCAGAUGGUGGUUAUUAUUGAGAACCGCAACAGAUGAAAAAAGUAAGACUCGGGUAUUGGGGCUACUGCAAAGUAGCCCAUGGUUAAAUGUAAUUUGAGGCAAACUACCACAACUCUGAGGUAUAGUAAUGGCUGUGGAGUUCUGAACAACAAAGAAAACAAAGAAAAGA